CCCAGAUCCACGCACUUCGGGCUCACCGGAUCAUCUUGGUUACGACUCCCACUCAGACACCGCCUCGCCCCACAAGACAGCGCACGUGCGCAUUGGGUGAGACCCCACCCUCGCCCCACAAGAGCAUCUGGAAGGGCGGGGCCCAGCGGCAGGUGGGGGCGGGGCGGGGCGGGCCUUGCGGGAGCCCAGGGUGCUGCGAGGGACAGAGGCGCGGGAGGCGCGCGGAGCCGGAGCCGAGCCCGUGCGCGCGCCACCAUGCCUUUGGCCUUCUGCGGCACCGAGAACCACUCGGCCGCCUACCGGGUGGACCAAGGCGUCCUCAACAACGGCUGCUUCGUGGACGCGCUCAAUGUGGUGCCACAUGUCUUUCUGCUCUUCAUCACCUUCCCCAUCCUCUUCAUCGGCCCAUGCUGUCACCGCUGCGCUGGACUGGGGUUGGAGCGCAGGCUGCAGCCAGCGGGGUUGAUGGUGGAGGCCAGCGAGCCUCGCGCUGUCCCAGCUGCCCGGCCUCAGGCAGAACCUUUCCCCGGCCUGGGGACCUUUCCACGCUGCGAGGAGAUAGAGUUUGGGUGACGGUACCCCACCACCCCACAAGGCGCGAGUCU
rnacentral:lncRNA from 1 species